GACGAACCGUGCUAACGUUGUUCGGAUUCACUGGGCUUAAAGGGCGCGUAGGCGGACUCGCCAGUCUGUGGUGAAAGCCCCCAGCUUAACUGGGGAAGUGCCGUGGAUACUGCGAGUCUGGAGGAGGGUAGGGGCAUCUGGAACGCUGGGUGGAGCGGUGAAAUGCGUUGAUAUCCAGCGGAACUCCGGUGGCGAAGGCGAGGUGCUGGACCCUUUCUGACGCUGAGGCGCGAAAGCCAGGGGAGCAAACGGG
rnacentral:rRNA from 1 species